AAAUAGUGGAUUCAUAUAUUCCUUGUAUAAAUAUAAAUUCUACCAAUCUACUAUAUAUUAAGCAAAUGUACCAAAAUUACACAAUUAACCUUUAGUUUUGGUCACCUCAUCAAAUAUAUCUUGCAUACCAUCAUAAGCUGCAAAACUAGUUCUCAUGAAAUAACAUGAUUUUAAGCGAUUUAAAGUCCUAGCUAACUCAGCAUGAUAAUUAAUUGAUGUUCCAAUGUAACCACUAAACCCAAGCAACCACGCACCUUCUCUUUGAACAUUCCUUUAUCCUUAAUAGCUUAGGUACAAUCUUUUUACAGAAACAUUAGGCAAUAAACAUACUCUUAACCUUGAAAAGUAUAAGCCCCUAGCUAGAAUAUACAAUUCCAGAUUUAGAAUUCGCAGCAGCCUCGAUCAUGUUGAUAACGUCACUUUCCNNNNNNNNCAAGGCACAACACCGCCUUUUGGCCUAAAAAAAACCCGCCUUUUCGAAGAACGUCUAGCAGAUUCAUACUUGUCUUGAUAUUUAACGUCAACUUGAAGUAGCUGCAAAAAAAUGUUUAACUACCCAGUUCUGUGUUCAUCCCACUCCUUUCUCGUGAAGUAGCUACAAAAAAAUGUUUAACUACCAAGUUCUGUGUUCAUCCCAUUCCUUCUCUCAAAACAGAUCAUCAUUUUCU
rnacentral:lncRNA from 1 species